CUAAAGUCUAAAACGACUCUCGGCAACGGAUAUCUCGGCUCUCGCAUCGAUGAAGAACGUAGCGAAAUGCGAUACUUGGUGUGAAUUGCAGAAUCCCGUGAACCAUCGAGUCUUUGAACGCAAGUUGCGCCCCAAGUCUUCUGGCCGAGGGCACGUCUGCCUGGGU
rnacentral:rRNA from 1 species